CUUUAGGGCCUCACCUGCAGCAUAUGGAAGUUCCUGGGCUAGGAGUUCAAUUGGGGCUGUAGCUGUCAGCCUAUACCACAGCCACAGUAAUAGCGGAUCCAAGCCAUGUCUACAACCUAUGCUGCACCUUGUGGCAACACCAGAUCCUUAACCCACUGAGGCCAGGAAUUGAACCUGUAUCCUCACAGACACUAUAUUGGGUCCUUAACUUCCUGAGCCACAACAGGAACUCCUUGGCCCAAUUUUUAACUCCUUGGCCUGGGUUACUUCUUACUGAGUUUUAAGAGUUCUUUGUAUAUUUUAUCUAACAGUCUUUUAUCAGGUAUGUCUGUCUCUGUGAUCCAUUUUGAAUUAAUUUUUGUAAAGGGUAUAAGAUCUCUAUUUAGGUUCAUUUUUUUGCAUGUGGAUGUCCAUUUGUUCCAGUACCUUUUAUUGAAGAGACUGUCUUUGCUCCAUUGUGUUGCCUUUACUUUUUGGUCAAAGAUCAGUUGGCUGUGUUUAUGAGGGUCUGUUUCUGAGCUCUCUGUUCUUUUCCUUUGGUCUAUUUUCUCUUCUUUCAUCAGUACCACACUGUCUUGAAAAGUCUCAAAGUCAGGUAGCCAAUUGACUGUCAGUCCUCCAACUUUAUUCUUCUCCUUCAGUAUUGUGUUGGCUUUUAUACCUCCCCACAUAAACUUCAGAAACAAUUUGUUGAUAUCCAUAAAGAACUUGCUGGGAUUUUUAUUGACAUUGCAUUGAAUCUCUCCAUUAAGUUGGGAAGAACAGACGUCUUAAUAAUAUUGAGUCAUCUAUUUGUGAACAUGAAAUACUUCCCUAUUUAUUCUUUGAUUUAUUGCUUCAGAGUUCUCCUCAUAUAGACCUUAUACCCAAAUAUUUCACUUUUUCAGGUGCUAAUAUAAAUCGUUUUCUGUUAUUAGUUUCAAAGUGUACUUGUUUAUUAUCGGUGUAUAGGAAAGCAGUUGACUCUUGUUUAUUUACUUUGUAUUCUGCAGCUUUGCUAUAUUUGCUUUUUAGUUUCAAGGAGAUUUUUUGUUACUUCUUUCAGAUUUUCUGUAUUACCUAGACAAUCAUGUCAUAGGUGAACAAAGAUUUAUGUCUGCCUUCCUAAUCUGCUUACGUUUUUUUCCCCUACUCUUGCCUUAUUAUGGUAACAAGGACUUGUAGUACAGUGUUGAAAAGGCAUGGUGAGAGGGGACAUCCUUGUUUUGUACCUAAACUUAGUGGGAAGGCUUCAGGUAUGAUGUUAGCUGUAGAGUUUUUGUAUACGGUCUUUAUCAAUUUGAAAGAGUCCCCUCUGUUCUGGUUUACAUAGAGUUUUGUUUUUUUUUGUUUUUUUUUUUUUUUUGUAUUUUUUUAUCUCUAGAAUCUGCAAUUUUUAGAGACAUUGUUUUUUAUUUUUUUUAUUUUUAUUUUUUAUUUAUUUAUUUUUUUAACAGAGUUUUUAUCAUGAGUAGAUACUAGAUUUUGUAUGCUUUUUCUGCAUUUCUCAAUAAGAUCAUGUUUUGUUUUGUUUGUUUGUUUGUUUUCAUUCUGUUGAUGAUAGAUUACAUCCUUUGAUUUUCAAAUAUUGAACCAACCUUGCAUACCUGGGAUAAAUGCUACUUGGUUGUUAUAUAUAAUUCUUUUAAUACUUUUUUGAGGGUUUGAUUGGCUAAUAUUUUUUUGAGGAUUUUGCGUCUGUAUUUAUAAGAGAUGUUGAUCUGUCAUUUUCUUUUCUUAGUUUUGGUAGAGGCAUACCUCAGAGAUAUUGUAGGUUCAGUUUAAGACCACCACAAUAAAGCGAGUAUCACAAUAAAGCAAGUCAUGCAAAUUUUUUGUUUCCCAGUGCAUAUAAAAUUGAUAUUUAUAUUGUACUGUAGUCUGUUGGGUGUCCAGUAGCAUUAUGUCUAAAAACAAUAUACUUAAUUAAAAAUGUUUAUUGCUAGAAAAUGAAGUCUUCAGUGAGUUGCUGUAAUAUUUUUGCUGGUAGAGUAUCUUGCCUCUUGACGGCUACAGACUGAUUAGGGUGGUAGUUGCUGAAGAUUGAGGUAGCUGUGGCAAUUUCUUAAAAUAACACAGCAGUGAAGUUUGCAACCUCAGUUGACUCUUCCUUUCUAUAGCAUGCAGUAAGGCAACAGAGGUCCUAAAUGAUACCAUAGAACAGUUAGACUUAAUUGAUGUUUUCAGGAUGUAACAUCAAAAAAACCCAGAAUACGUAUUUUUUUCAAGUGCACAUGGAACACCCUUUAGUACUAACCAUGUAUGAGGACACAAGACAAGCUUUUACAAAUUUAAGAGGAUAGAAAUUAUUUUAAGAAUUUUUUCUGACCACAAUGACAUGAAACUAGAAAUCAACCACAGAAAGAGAAAUGAGAAAAAAAAAUGAUUACAUGGAGGCUAAAUAAUAUGCUAGUUAAUAAACAGUGGGUAUGAGGAAAUCAAAGAAGAAAUUAAAAAAUACCUUGGGACAGGAGUUCCCGUCGUGGCGCAGUGGUUAACGAAUCCGACUAGGAACCGUGAGGUUGUGGGUUCGGUCCCUGCGCUUGCUCAGUGGGUUAACGAUCUGCAAGCUGUGGUGUAGGUUGCAGACGCGGCUCAGAUCCUGCGUUGCUGUGGCUCUGGCGUAGGCCGGUGGCUGCAGCUCCGAUUAGACCCCUAGCCUGGGAACCUCCAUAUGCCGUGGAAGCGGCCCAAAGAAAUAGCAAAAAGACAAAAAAAAAACCAAAAAACCUUGGGACAAACAACAUUGAAAAUACAGCAGGCAUUGCUGUUCCCAUGGCUCAGUGGAAAUGAAUCUGACCAGCAUCCAUGAGGACACAGGUUCAAUCCCUGGUCUUACUCUGUGGGUUAAGGUUAUGGUGUUGCUCUGAGCCAUGGUGUAGGUUACAGACAUGGCUUGGAUCCUGUAUUGCUGUGGCUAUGGCAUAGGCCAGCAGCUAUAGCUCUGAUUUGAUCCCUAACCUGGGAACCUCCAUAUGCCACAGGUGUGGCCCUAAAAA
rnacentral:lncRNA from 1 species